AUCAACUUUCGAUGGUAGGAUAGAGGCCUACCAUGGUGGUAACGGGUAACGGGGUGUUAGGGCACGACACCGGAGAGGGAGCCUGAGAAACGGCUACCACAUCCAAGGAUGGCAGCAGGCGCGCAAAUUACCCAAUCCCGACACGGGGAGGUAGUGACAAUAAAUAACAAUACGGGGUUCUUUCGGAUUUCGUAAUUGGAAUGAGUACAAUUUAAAUCUCUUAACGAGGAACAAUUGGAGGGCAAGUCUGGUGCCAGCAGCCGCGGUAAUUCCAGCUCCAAUAGCGUAUAUUAAAGUUGCUGCAGUUAAAAAGCUCGUAGUUGAAUUUCGGGACCAAUAUGUCGGUCGUGCCUCGGUACGUACUGGCAUCGUUGGUUUCUCCCUUCUGACGAACCAUGAUGUCAUUCAUUUGGUGUCGUGGGGAAUCAGGACUGUUACUUUGAAAAAAUUAGAGUGUUUAAAGCAGGCUCACGCUCGAAUACAUUAGCAUGGAAUAAUGAAAUAGGACGUUUGAUUCUAUUUUGUUGGUUUCUAGGAUCGACGUAAUGAUUAAUAGGGAUAGUUGGGGGCAUUAGUAUUCAAUUGUCAGAGGUGAUAUUCUUGGAUUUAUUGAAGACUAACUACUGCGAAAGCAUUUGCCAAGGAUGUUUUCAUUAAUCAAGAACGAAAGUUAGGGGAUCGAAGACGAUCAGAUACCGUCGUAGUCUUAACCAUAAACUAUGCCGACUAGGGAUCGGAUGAUGUUAAUUUUUUAAUGACUCAUUCGGCGCCUUACGGGAAACCAAAGUGUUUGGGUUC
rnacentral:rRNA from 1 species